CCUUUAGAGUUUGAUCCUGGCUCAGGACGAACGCUGGCGGCGUGCUUAACACAUGCAAGUCGAACGGUGAAGCUCCAGCUUGCUGGAGUGGAUCAGUGGCGAACGGGUGAGUAACACGUGAGCAACCUGCCCCUGACUCUGGAAUAAGCGCUGGAAACGGCGUCUAAUACUGGAUAUGAGAAGGGUCCGCAUGGACACUUUCUGGAAAGUUUUUCGGUUGGGGAUGGGCUCGCGGCCUAUCAGCUUGUUGGUGAGGUAAUGGCUCACCAAGGCGACGACGGGUAGCCGGCCUGAGAGGGCGACCGGCCACACUGGGACUGAGACACGGCCCAGACUCCUACGGGAGGCAGCAGUGGGGAAUAUUGCACAAUGGGCGAAAGCCUGAUGCAGCGACGCCGCGUGAGGGAUGACGGCCUUCGGGUUGUAAACCUC
rnacentral:rRNA from 1 species